AUUGAACGCUGGCGGCAUGCUUUACACAUGCAAGUCGAGCGGCAGCGCGGUGGCAACCCUGGAGGCGAGCGGCGAACGGGUGAGUAAUGCAGCGGAACGUAUCCUCGAGGGGUGGAUAACCCAGCUAAAGUUGGGCCAAAACCGCAUGAGCUCUGAGGAGGCUAGGGUGGGCCCUCCGAGUAGCUCGCGCUGAAGUAGCUGCCGGGGUCGCAUUAGUUCGAUGAGGUGGUAAGGGCGUACCAAGGCGACGAACGGUAGAUGGGCUGAGAGGAUGAUCAGCCACACUGGAACUGAGACACGGCACAGACCACUACGGGAGGCAGCAGUGGGGAAUUUUAGACAAUGGGGGGAACGCUGAUCCAGCCAUGCCGAGUGGGGUAAGAAAGCCUUCGGUUUGUGAAGCUCUUCCGGUUGGAACGAAAAGUGAGGGACUAAAACUGCGGUUUGAUGACGGUACCGUAAGAAGAAGCACCGGCUAACUCCGUG
rnacentral:rRNA from 1 species